rnacentral:rRNA from 1 species
AGCGUAACAAGGUUUCCGUAGGUGAACCUGCGGAAGGAUCAUUACC